rnacentral:rRNA from 1 species
CAAGGAUUCCCCUAGUAAUUGGCGAAUGAAGCGGGAACAGCUCAAAUUUUUAAAUCUCCGUUGCGUGCAACGGCGAAUUGUAGUUUCGAGAAGCAUCUUCUCGGCGGACUCCGGGGCCGUCCAAGUUGCUUGGAACAGCACGUCAUAGAGGGUGACAACCCCGUCUGUGGCGGAACCGGGCCGCUCACGAUGUGCUUUCGACGAGUCGGGUUGUUUGGGAAUGCAGCCCAAAAUGGGUGGUAAACUCCAUCUAAGGCUAAAUAUUGGCACGAGACCGAUAGCGAACAAGUACCGUGAGGGAAAGGUGAAAAGCACUUUGAAAAGAGAGUUAAAAAGUACGUGAAACCGUUAAAAGGGAAACGAACGGGGUUAGCAAUGCGCUCUCUGCGAGAUUCAGCCGGGCCGGCGCGCCGGGCGGGCGGUCUGCGGAUCCCUUGAGGACCGCGGCCGUUCGCCGUCGGCGCUCGGACCGUCGCACUUCUCGCGAGCGCGCGCCAACGUCGGUUGGGACUGGGUCUCUCGAAAGGCGCCGGUAAGGUGGACCCGCUCUUCGGAGGGGGUUGUUAUAGACCGGCGUCGAACGGCCCGGGCCCGACCGAGGAGCCGCGGCGCAUGCCUUUCUUCGGUUUGGCUACGGUCCCGUCGUUCCGGUCGGCCGUCCGACUGCGGUGGACUGCGUGCAGUGCACCGCGACCGCGGCCGGUCGCUUCGGCGGUGAUGCGGUACCAUGCGCCCAGGACGUUGGCGGUCAGAUGGCCUCGUCCGACCCGUCUUGAAACACGGACCAAGGAGUCUAACAUGUGCGCGAGUCUUCGAGUGACCGAAACUCCCAGGCGUAAUGAAAGUGAAGGCCGGGCCGCGCUCGCGCGGUCCGCCGAGGCGAGRACCCCUUUCCCCGCUUCGGGGCGGGCGCAUCGUCGACCG